rnacentral:rRNA from 1 species
CCUACGGGUGGCAGCAGUGAGGAAUAUUGGUCAAUGGACGCGAGUCUGAACCAGCCAAGUAGCGUGAAGGAUGACUGCCCUAUGGGUUGUAAACUUCUUUUAUAAAGGAAUAAAACGAGGCACGUGUGCCUUUUUGCAUGUACUUUAUGAAUAAGGAUCGGCUAACUCCGUGCCAGCAGCCGCGGUAAUACGGAGGAUCCGAGCGUUAUCCGGAUUUAUUGGGUUUAAAGCGCGCGUAGGUGGUAUGUCAAGUCAAGGGUGAAAUCUCCGGGCUCAACGUUGGAACUGCAUUUGAUACUGGCAGACUGGAGUGCAGGAGAGGAUAGUGGAAUUCCAGGUGUAGGGGUGAAAUCCGUAGAUAUCUGGAGGAACAUCAGUGGCGAAGGCGGCUUACUG